rnacentral:tRNA from 1 species
ACGCGGGAUGGAGCAGCUCGGUAGCUCGUCGGGCUCAUAACCCGAAGGUCGUAGGUUCAAAUCGCGGUUCGAUUCCGUCUCGCGCC